AAAUUGAAGAGUUUGAUCAUGGCUCAGAUUGAACGCUGGCGGCAGGCCUAACACAUGCAAGUCGAACGGUAACAGGAAGUAGCUUGCUGCUUCGCUGACGAGUGGCGGACGGGUGAGUAAUGUCUGGGAAACUGCCUGAUGGAGGGGGAUAACUACUGGAAACGGUGGCUAAUACCGCAUAACGUCGCAAGACCAAAGAGGGGGACCUUCGGGCCUCUUGCCAUCAGAUGUGCCCAGAUGGGAUUAGCUUGUUGGUGAGGUAACGGCUCACCAAGGCGACGAUCCCUAGCUGGUCUGAGAGGAUGACCAGCCACACUGGAACUGAGACACGGUCCAGACUCCUACGGGAGGCAGCAGUGGGGAAUAUUGCACAAUGGGCGCAAGCCUGAUGCAGCCAUGCCGCGUGUAUGAAGAAGGCCUUCGGGUUGUAAAGUACUUUCAGCGGGGAGGAAGGUGUUGUGGUUAAUAACC
rnacentral:rRNA from 1 species